CAAGUAAGCCAGAUGAUCGCGGGCGCAACCGAAAGGGACCGUCUGAGGAAAGUCCGGGCUCCAUAGGGCAAGGGUGCAGGGUAACACCCUGUGAAGGCGACUUCAAGGAAAGUGCAACAGAAAAUUACCGCCUGCGUUUUUGCAGGUAAGGAUGAAAAGGCGAGGUAAGAGCUCACCGGCAUUGUGGUGACAUAAUGGCCGUGUAAACCCCAUCCGGAGCAACACCGCUGUGAAACGUUACGUCGGCCCGACAGUUUCCGAGGUGGCUGGAGCGCAGUAGUAAUAUUGCGCCGAGAUAGAUGAUCAUCCGCGACAGAACCCGGCUUACGGCUUGCUUGCUUA
rnacentral:RNase_P_RNA from 1 species